GACGAACGCUGGCGGCGUGCUUAACACAUGCAAGUCGAACGAAGUGGCGAACGGGUGAGUAAUACGUGAGUAACCUGCCCUCCUUUUUGGGAUAAGCCUUGGAAACGGGGUCUAAUACCGAAUAAAGGGGGAUGGGCUCGCGGCCUAUUAGCUUGUUGAGGGGGUGAUGGCGUAGCAAGGCGGUGACGGGUAGCCGGCCUGAGAGGGUGACCGGGCACAUUGGGAAUGGGAUAAGGCCCAGAGGCCGACGGGAGGGGGGAGUUGGGGAUAUGGAACAAAGGGCGAAAGCCUGAUGCAGCGGCGGCGCGUGGGGGAUUAAGGCUUUCGGGUUGUGAAAAUCUUGAGGUAUCGAAACGGUAGGUAGAGAAGAAGCGCCGGCUAACUACGUGCCAGCAGCCGCGGUAAUUC
rnacentral:rRNA from 1 species